GUCACGCUGGAACCCUUCCGUGGCUUGCAGGCCACUAACUCCACCUCAAAAAUUAGAGUUGCGCUGUUUAAAGUAUACAAAUAUUUAAUGAAGAGCGUGCACAAACUGGCACAUUGGAUUAUUCUAGCCAUACAAGCUCCAUUUUCAAUUCAAAAAAUUUAGAUCUUUGAUCCACCAAAGUAACUGAUUUGCAAAGUUUAUAAUAAAAUUGCACAAGGUUCUUGCAUAUCUCUAAUGGUAGUUGGACCAACAUACAGUCUACCUCUGUAGUUGGACCCACAAAUUCAUAUCUUGUUUCUGUCACAAAAUUGCAUGACUAGUUUCAUCGAAACGGUCACCUCAAAUGUUAUAUGCAUGAUUCAUGAGUUAUUUUUUUCAUUAUAACAUCAAAAGAAUAGGUAGGUAUACAUCCUUUGUUAAUAUAUCAGAAAACUAGAAUCAGAUAUCCAAGAUGGAAGAUCCAAGACUACACUCAGAACCAUCCACUAGGAGAAUUGGAUUACUGGUUUCGAAAAACAUUCAGUUCAACUGCCAUCCACCAAGGUUUAAAUCUUGUUGGAGAUUUGAAAGGCUGUCUGAAAGGGAGGUCUGAGCCUAUACGGGGAAAAAUUAAGGAUGGGCUUCCUGUUAAGUGUUUAAACACCAGUCUACGACUACCUCGUUGAUUGUGCACACGUGCAGGUUUUAUUAAUACUUUGAAUAGGUUGCUGAUGAGGGUGCGGUGCCAAGGAGGAUAUUCGAGCAGCCCGUGUUGAAAAUAAUGGUGGCGGCCAAUAAGGAUUCCAACGAGGAUGCUCAACGAGCUGGGGUGAGAAUGGUGGUGGCAGUAGCAGUGGCAGUAGGUGAUUCUAGUAAAAAUACCAAUCAUAUUUAGGAAACGCUUUUGGAGACAAAAAAACUCCAAUCACAUUUAUUUCAUCUCCAGUAGAUCUUUCCUAGGCCAUUGAUUUUGAGCACAAAUGUUCCUAAUUCAAACAAGUCUCCGUAUC